CCUCUCCUUAGCUUCCCCAUCUUUUGCCUGUGCUUUGUAGUUUUUUGGCUUUGCUUCAGCUGCAUUCAAGAUGCCCUCCAAAACAAAUAACCAAGACUCCAACAUGUUUAGAAAACGUACAAGACAUUUAUCGCUCUGGGAGGCACCCACUGCCAAACUUGGUUGUUCAUGCCCAGCGCUCCUCUCUAGGGGCAGAACGACUUUUGUUCAACUGUGAACAGCCUUAUAAACAAGACUGAUCUGUGAAUACAGAAGUGGAUCCUCAAAGCCUCUGCUCAAAUUGUGGUCAGACUAGUCUGGAGGGCAUUUGGACUGAAGUCCAGUCUCACACAGAGUUUCUGGCAUCAUCCCAGUCGUUCCUGCUUCCUGAGCUGCUUUCAGGUUCAACUCUGGUCACAUGUUCUGCACUGAGAGCUGGCUAUGCCCCCCUCCCCGCCUACCACCACCACCACACCUAGCUUCUCUGCCUCUCUCUAAAAUGUUGUCGUGGUGAAGAAGGUAAGAAGUCAAGGACUUCACGUGUCAAGGAGGCAAAAACAGGUUGUUGGAUGAAAGAUCAAGGGACAGUGAAUACAUUUCACUUAGCGCUCAUGGCCAUGAGGGGUCAACUUGCUUCAAGAAGGUAUCUGGGUACACUAGUGCUCUUGGAUCAUCUUAAUUCAAUUUCAAGGACUAGGAUUUUCUGUACCACCCAGAUUAUUUGAAUCUGUGCUACAAUCCACUUGAGGACUUACUGUUUUUCAGUAUUUCUUCCUUCUGGGUCUCCAAGACUUAAUGGUUUGCCAGAGCAUCCCACACAUGGAAAAUGUUUCCUGAUAUUUCAGCUAGUGACUGAUUUCAUCAUUCUUUUAUCUGAGGAUGGAGGAAGCCUGAAGCCCAUCUGUGUCAUCAAGAUCCACUCAGACAGUAGCAACCAUUCCAGCUUUUCAGAAGAGAAAAUUUAGUAGCUGGAGGAUCAAUGAAAAAAGGAUGAAAUUACUAAAGCAUAGAAUCUUGGAAGAAGACUUAAUGGUUUGCCAGAGCAUCCCACACAUGCUGCAUGGUUGUUUACCAGGCAAAUGACCCGUGGAAUUGCAGAGCUGAGAAUCAGAAAAUCUGGCACUGCACAUCGAAUAUGGUCUUCUCUCAAUGUUUAUCUUAAUCAUACCUCAUCUGUGUCAAAGUGUGGGCGGAGAGCUAGAGGAGGCUUGAAGCACCCUGGCAUGUCACGGUACUCCAGUCAAGUCCUAUCAGUGGCUCUCUAGCCAGGAGCCACCAUGUACAUGGCUCUGAGCUGGACCUCGCAUGGGCUGCAGACAUGCACAGCCGGAGGUCCUAUCCCCUGAAAUCUGGCAUUCUUCUGGGGCAAAGAAGUCAGAUUGUGCAUAAUUAUAA